UAGGGAAUCUUCGGCAAUGGACGGAAGUCUGACCGAGCAACGCCGCGUGAGUGAAGAAGGUUUUCGGAUCGUAAAGCUCUGUUGUUAGAGAAGAACGUUGGUAGGAGUGGAAAAUCUACCAAGUGACGGUAACUAACCAGAAAGGGACGGCUAACUACGUGCCAGCAGCCGCGGUAAUACGUAGGUCCCGAGCGUUGUCCGGAUGUAUUGGGCGUAAAGCGAGCGCAGGCGGUUCUUUAAGUCUGAAGUUAAAGGCAGUGGCUUAACCAUUGUACGCUUUGGAAACUGGAGGGCUUGAGUGCAGAAGGGGAGAGUGGAAUUCCAUGUGGAGCGGUGAAAUGCGUAGAUAUAUGGAGGAACACCGGUGGCGAAAGCGGCUCUCUGGUCUGUAACGGACGCUGAGGCUCGAAAGCGUGGGGAGCAAACAGG
rnacentral:rRNA from 1 species